rnacentral:rRNA from 1 species
UACGUAGGGAGCAAGCGUUGUCCGGAAUCAUUGGGCGUAAAGCGCGCGUAGGUGGCUUCGUAAGUCCGUUGUGAAAGUCGAAGGCUCAACCUUUGAAAGCCGAUGGAUACUGUGAAGCUAGAGUACGGAAGAGGCGAGUGGAAUUCCUGGUGUAGCGGUGGAAUGCGCAGAUAUCAGGAGGAACACCAAUAGCGAAGGCAGCUCGCUGGGACGUUACUGACACUGAGGCGCGAAAGCGUGGGGAGCGAACAGG